AAGGAUUCCUUUUUCGUGGACACGGAAAGCCAGCUUCAGAGAAGAACUGAAAAACAAAUAUUCAGUUAUAAUUUGAUCCAAAAAUGUGGACAAAAUUGCUCAGAAUAACAUGACUCUAAUGAUGGUUUAGGAUACUUUCGGAUACAUCAAGAUCAAAGGAAAGCCAAGCAAUGCAGAAGUUCUAUAUAAAGACAGUUUCACCACUGGACAGCAAGUAAAGAUCAUCAAAGAGAGCAAAGACUUCACUACUCGGUUGAUGAAUUGAUGAGAUCACGGUCCUUCCAUCACGAGCGAUAUUUCUCAGAGUCUGGACCACAAAGAAAGCCGAAGCACUGUCCAGACCACUCGUGGGUUCAUCAAGGAAGAGUAAAUGAGGGCGGUUGGGAUAUACGAACACGGGUGAUGAAGAAGGAGAAGAAGAAGAUGGUUUGAGUUUGCAAAAGUAAGGUGUCAAAAACAUGUCAUGAGCCCAUAGUUGAAUGACUACUCAAGUUCUCUCGUCAACUCAAUUUCCAAGAUCUCCAGGUCAGCAACUAUACUUUCUCAAUUAAGAAUUCUACCUGAAUCUAUCUUGUAAUCGCGCCGACCCCACUUAUCCAUAGAUUGUGAGAGCAAUAACUAGCACUUACCGCAACACCAUAUUCAAGUCUCUUCUUUUUCCCGUCCAAGAGGACAUUCCCAGUCAUGAUCACUUUUCUGGAUAAUCUACCUGCAGUAACAUCAAUGCUUCUUUACAUAUGGUGAAUAUAUGCACAAGCUACAUGCGAGUAAAUAAAUCAAAAUUGCUACAAGGUUCUGCUGAGCUGCCAUUUAGGGGAACUUUGUCUUAACCAAACCAGAUGUUGCGGAAAAUUCAAAACGAUAAAGCCCAAUUUAAAUAGAAGUAGUUGCUUAAUAUUCCAAUUCCAAGUAGAUCUUACGCUGGUGUUAAUUUUUAACCGUAAGAAUGGUCAUCCAUGUAUUCGAAACGUUUCUAGGCUGUAAGUGUAUAAGUGUAGCUGAAUUGGCUUAUUUAAUAAUUAACAAAGGCCGCAUGAGCUAUAUAAAAUAACUCGACAGAAGUUUGGAUUGCCGAUAUUAGAUUUUCUUUUUUGGUAUUUUCUCGUCGUGAACCUGAGUUUGGCUCAACUGAACUGGUGCUAGCCUUAGCCAACCCUCGGAAUGAUUAAGAAACCAAAGACGAGCCAAAAUAAGAAAUGUUCCCCAGGUGCCGUCGCCACUUUAGGUCUAAAAUUUAGUUUCUUUUGCUUUUGUUUUCAUAUAGGUUUUCAAUGUACAAACAAGACAACCCUCUUUAUACCCACGAUUUGGUUGGAAUUCAAAGGGGAAAGGGAACGAUGAUAACUCUUCGUUGAAUAAAGUCGACAACCACUUGAAUUGGACAUGCCUAGAGAAAUUGUCGCGACCCUCUUAAUUGGUGAGUAAAAGUAAAAGCAGAGGAGGUACCGAAACCACUUAGACAUGAGAAUUGCUUGUUCUAACCAUUUCAAGAAAGCAAAGGAAAUUUCCCUGGAUAGUCAAGAACUUAUUGAAAAGGACAUCAUCCAAUCUGCUAUGCACGCAAAUUUAUGUACCAUCUUAUUUGCGAUAUAGAUAGAUUAGUGGUAGAGAGAGAGAGAGAGAGAGAGAGAGAUCAAACCUGCUAGAGAGUCAAGUAGGGUGGAUUUACCCGACCCAGAAGGGCCCAUGAUGGCCAUGAUCCGACCCGGUUCAGCGUAGCCGUUGAGGCCUUGAAGCAGCCUCUUGGUGUGUCCAUGGCCGAAGUUUGGCAAGACCGCACUGAGAUCCUCCCAUACCAAGAACGUUCCCUUCGAAAAUGCUUUGCUCUCAUACACGGCACCGCCUCCACCGCUCCCGCUCGCCGCCUCUAUCUCCAUAGAGUCCAGACGAAAAUGCUGAGCUCAAACCGGAGAACCAAGCAAGAGCAGAAGAUAGUGCCCUCCCCAAAUUUUCUUAUCGAAAGAGAAUCAGAAGUUAUCAACCAGCCCGCGAAAAGGCCGAAAGAACAGCGAGCGAGCGAGCAACAAGAAAAGAAAGGAGGAGGUAAUAUAGUGAACGAUGAAUCAAUGAGUGAGACGCUACACUAGUCACCAAACAGCUAAACGUCCUUGCCGUUAUGAUGUUUGGGAGGCCCAGACAAUGAACCCAACUACAAACGAUUCUCUUC